rnacentral:misc_RNA from 1 species
GGGGAACCUGCGGCUGGAUCACCUCCUUUCUAAGGAAGCUGUGGAAUUGGUAAGACGAUCGGCCUGAUCUUCGGAUCUCCCCGAUAUGAACCUUCCCGUGCUUUUUAGAACAUAGAUGGCACCAGUCAGGUGACCAUCGAAACGCAAUACGCCACGGAAAUGCUUCGGCAUUCGGAUGGUAUGGCGAGCU